rnacentral:lncRNA from 1 species
GGAAAGGACAGCUGACUGACGACGGGGGUGGGACGGACACUGCGUGCGUGCGGGACCGAGGCACACCUAGUUGUGCCAUCUUCAUACAAAGCCCACCAAGCACCAUCCUAUAAAGUCACACGCCUGAAUUUGGUAAGUAUCCUUUCCAUGCAUGUAUAUUAAAAAAUAAGUACUUAUACACAUACAGAAUUUUUCACAUAACUGGACUCAUUCAUAUUGUUAUGCAGCUUUUAAAUUUGUUAUUGACUUAA